rnacentral:rRNA from 1 species
UACGGGGGGAGCAAGCGUUGUUCGGAUUUACUGGGCGUAAAGGGCUCGUAGGCGGUUUGUCGCGUCGACUGUGAAAACCCGAGGCUUAACCUCGGGCCUGCAGUCGAUACGGGCAGACUAGAGUUCGGUAGGGGAGACUGGAAUUCCUGGUGUAGCGGUGAAAUGCGCAGAUAUCAGGAGGAACACCGGUGGCGAAGGCGGGACUCUGGGCCGAUACUGACGCUGAGGAGCGAAAGCGUGGGGAGCAAACAGG